rnacentral:lncRNA from 1 species
GGAGCAAAUUGAUGAGUCUCUACUGACACCUAUUGACUCUAACUAGGAACUUACCCUUGAAAAUACAAGCAAUGUCAAGGUUUCGCUAGAAACCUUGAGGCAGAAUGUUGAACACUAGAUGGAACUAUUGUAUCAUUAUUAUACAUAGAAAAACCUUGUCACUGGACUUCAUAACUGUGGAGGGCAGUCUAUUGGAGGAGGACAGACAAAGAUGAUCUGUCAUAUAACUGAUCAGGAGGCAUAGAGAACAUCUCGGUGGUUGUGGCUGAAUAGUGAGAAGCAGUGGACGAGCCACCUGCCACACUUGGGCUUGAUCAACCCAUCCUUCAGAAGGGGUAGUGGGCAGCACAUGUAGGAUAAGUAGUACCUCACCUGAAGAUCAGCCAGGAGCUGCAGAAAUGGCUCUUUGUGGGGCAAUUGAACUUAUUCCAGAGGCUGCUCCAAAACACCGCCGGCGGAGAAGAGGUAUUCAGAGUGGACUUCUAGUCCGACUCAGGAGGCCUGCACACCAUCCACCACAUCCGAGUAUAUUACUCGCUAAGGUUCAGUGUCUGGAUAACAAAGUAGACGAGCUCAGGGCGAGGAUCUCCUUCCAG